UCACGGUCUCCCCUAGCUGUAGAUAGGUGGGCCAAUGCAUUUUCUGUCUCAGUGCCACAAUAAGUGAUUAGGUUGUUGUUGCUUUUUGUUAACUCACUUUUACUCGCAACAUGCUAAACGGCAACAUAGGAUUCCAUUCACUACGCUAAGCUUACUAGCGGCGGUGCUGCCAGUGUUGUGCCGAAC